CAGAACUGUACACCAAUGAACAGCAUGCAGACACUCUGAACUGUUCACCAAUGAAUUGCAUGCAGACACUCUGAGCUGCUCAGUAAAUGAUUCCAGAUUUGAGCGGUUAACCUAUCAGUGCAAUCAUGGGAAUGGGUUAUGUGCAGUGAUUUUGUGCAAGAUCAAGAAGCAGACGUGCACACACAAAACUCACAACACCGACUUCUUUUUACACCCUCACCAGACUGAAAUAUGGAGCAAAUCUUGGGCGAGCGGAGAAAAGAAAAACAGACAACAGAGUGAAGCCUCUUGCUGCAGUGUGUUGUAGUAACCUCCCAUGUGGAUAAAACGAGAGGAGCGAAAACACAGUAAUGAGAUGGGGGAAAAAGAGAGAGUCUAUGUUUGGGUCCAAUUUCUCUCCACAUUCAUCUUCACAGCACUGGUUUUGUGUGGGACUUGGAAUGAUGAGAUAUUUGGCACAACCCCUGUGUGAUGAUAUUUACUGAAGCAUGUUUACGCCCUUGGACCAUCCUGCAGUGUUAUGUUAAAUACUUUUGAGCUUCACUUUUUUUUUAGCACACUUCCUUGAAUUCCCUUCAUUUUCCAGUCUUUCUUUUGUCUGUUUUUUUACGUACAUUUACGUUCACCCUGCCUACUCAGUGAAAGUUUUUGUGUUGUUUUGAGUUUGUUGAAUUAUUUCUGGACAUGGGGGACAUGCGUCUGUGGGUAGGUUUGUGUGUGGCUGUGUGUUUCUGUGAGUAUCUGCAGUAUUCCAAAAAGCUGCAGCUCCCCUAUGUGGUCCAGCAGUGCUUUGCAGUGCAGUGGGAAAGACAUAGUCAGAUCCAAAGGGAACUGAGAAACCCUGUUCUGGUCCAGCCCAUGGAGAGUCAGCAUUCUCUGAGAGAAGCUAUUCAGGAAUGAUUCUUUAUAAAGGAUCAUGAUCAUUGGUUUUGUCACAUUAUUUACAUUGCCAGUCAAAAGUUCAGACAUACUUGAUGUUUCUCAUGAUCUUACAAACUUUUUGAUCUAAAGGCUUAUGCUUAAAUGUUUGGCAUUUGUAUUGUAGACAAAUAUAAAUUGUGCCAAUGUGCAAGUUACCUUACAAAAUGUAAUUUCAUUAUUCAAAUGGAUGAGUAGGUCUGUAUAGUGAAAUAAAGCAGCCAGCAUACAUGGAAACCCCAAUACUGUUUAAAAAGCAUCCCAUUCUAUGCUGGUUGAGAGAAUGACCGGAGUGUGCAUAACUGUCUUUUGGCAAAGGGUGGCUACUUAGAAGAAGCUGAAAUAUAAUACAGAUUUGUCAUAAAUAAUAUUCAGGGUCAUUUUUUAAUACAAGUUUAGCUCAAUCGGAAGCAUUUGUGACAUAACGUUGAUUACCACAAAACAAUAAUUUCGAGGCUACAGUGAGGCAAUUACAAUGAGGUUUAAAGGCAGAAAUGUGAAGCUAAUCAUUUUAUAAAAGCACCUACAUUAAUUAUUCUCUUAAAACUUGCAUAUUAUUUGAGCUUUAAAAUAUUUAAAAUGUAAUUUACUGGGAUUACAGGGUUGGUAAUACGUAG